rnacentral:rRNA from 1 species
GCUUACGGCCAUACCACCCUGAAUGCGCCCGCUCUCGUCUGAUCUCGGAAGCUAAGCAGGGUCAGGCCUGGUUAGUACUUGGAUGGGAGACCGCCUGGGCAUACCAGGUGCUGUAAGCU